AACGCACAUUGCGCCCGCCAGUAUUCUGGCGGGCAUGCCUGUUCGAGCGUCAUUUCCACCAUCAGGCCCCCGGGCCUGUGUUGGGGACCUGCGGCUGCCCGCAGGCCCCGAAAUUCAGUGGCGGUCGCGCCGUAGCAACCGAGCGUAGUAACUAAAAACGUCUCGCUCUGGCUCGCUGGGCGCGCUCCGGCCGUAAAACACCCCCCCUUUUCGCAAAGGUUGACCUCGGAUCAGGUAGGAAUACCCGCUGAACUUAA
rnacentral:misc_RNA from 1 species